CUCCGCCUUCGACUUCAGCCGUCUCCAAGGCUCCGCUUUCGACCGACUUCAAGCCUCCGCCUUCAAGCUCGACCGACCAUCAACAGCGACCUCCGAAAAUUUUCCUCCUCGGUUUCUUCUAACACUAAGGACUGAAAUCAUAUGCUUCCAUUCAUGGGACACCCCCAAGCCUCGCCUCUGGCCAUACCUUUGUUAUGCAGUGGUCAAGAACCCUAAAACUCAAGCAACCAGAUGCGUUCCGAAGGGUUACUGAGUUUGGAGAUGAAGUGGAUAAUCGGUUAUAUGUCCAUGGGGUCUAGGCCAUGAACAAGAAGCAUAAGCCUCCACAGAGAAAAUCAAAUCAACACCAAAUCAACACCCAGUUCCUUCAUGUAACCUAACAAUGGAAAUGGUAAAUAUUUUUUCCUGUCUUUACAUCGUCAAGUUCUUGACAUGCAAGUAAAAAUAAAGUUUAUAUAACCAUUUUAAAUUCUUGAAGAGAAGGAAAAAAGAACGUGUUAUUUUAUUUUUUAGAGUAAGUAAAUUGUCUCCUUGAAUAAAAAGGAAUUUUAUAGAUUUUAUAUUAAUAUAAGUUAUGUAGAUGUUUGAUAUGUUAAUGAUUAUCAGAUAUCCCCAGAUCUGAUGGUGAAGAUGAGAAAAAAUCGUGCGACACUAGUUAACAAUGUUACACUGCCUAGAUCCACACUUGCUAAUUUAGCCUUCACUGUUGUCUUCAUGAAACAUUCCAUGGACAAACACCACGUUUUAUAUUAACCUCCUUUCAGAAUGGUGUCCCAGCCUGAGAUCCAAUACAUAAAAGUCAUGUACAGAUCUCUUUGAUACCUAUGGUCAGAAAUGCAAUGAUAUUCUCACGAAACUUCACAAAGAGAAUGCAGACAAGUUUUCGCUUGACCUAGAACAAGUCAUUGGGGGUCAAGGUAGAUAUUCAGGCUUAUGAUGAUGGCAACAACUUCGCGGCAGGAAUUUUAUAUUUCACCUUUCGAUUUGAGUUAAUCCCAUAUCUGUUUGAGGAGUUUGUAAGCUGCAUGAGUAAUCAUCACUUUUUCCUUUUUUUUGAUACCUCUUCCCUCCCCUCUGUGAAACCUUUAAACUUUCGGGAAAAGAUGGUCAUUAUUACUCGUGCAGCUUACAAACUCCUCAGGCGGACAUGAGAUUAACUCAUAUCGUAAGGUGAAAUAUAAAAUUACUAUCGCGAAGUUCUCGUUGGUGCCAUCAUCAUACACCUGAAUACCUACCUUGAUCCCCAAUGGCUUGUUCCAGGUCAAGCGAAAGCUUGUCUGCAUUCUCUCUGUGAAGUUUCGUGAGAAUAUCAUUGUAUUUUUGAUCAUAUGUAUCAAAGAGAUCUGUGCAUGUCUUUAUGUAUUGAAUCUCAGGUUAGGACACCCUUCUGAAAGAAGGUUGAUAUAAAACGUGAUGUUUGUCCAUGGAAUGUUUCAUGAAGACAAUAGUGGAGGCUGAAUUAGCAAGUGUGGAUCCAGGUAGUGUAACAUUGUUAACUAGUGUCGUACAGUUUUUUCUCAUCUUCGCCAUCAGAUCUGGGGAUAUCUGAUAAUCAUUAACAUAUCAAACAUCUACAUAACUUAUAUUAAUAUAAAAUCUAUAAAAUUCCUCUUUAUUCAAGGAGACAAUUCACUUACUCCAAAAAGUGAAACGACACGUUUUUUUUCCUUCUCUUCAAAAAUUUAAAAUGGUUAUAUAAACUUUGUUUUCACUUGCAUGUCAAGAACUUGACGAUGUAAAAACAAAUGGAAGGAUAUUUUCCAUUUCCAUUGUAAGGUUACAUGAUUGUUCAUUCACGCCUUCUUCCUUAUCUCAAUAGUCUACAAGACUUCCAUCUUCAGGAUAAAACUGAAAGUCCUGGUUGGCAACUGAAAACAGCUAUGGCAACAAUGAGGAUGCUCUUUUUAGGGGGAAAUCUUGCUGGUUAAAACCACAGGGUGCCUGCUAUAGCAUACACAUAGUUGCUUGUCAAAUGUAGCUUUCCUUCGUCGAGCACUGUGAUUGCAAAUGAACCUGCAGGUGUCAAGGUGAAGCCUGGAGAGCCUUGUAGGGUUGACCCGGGAAGGCACAGGCGUAUUAUUGUCACACAGGCUACAUUUGAUCCGGAAGAAGAUGAUGGCCUUGUCUGUAUCUCUGCGAAAACUGAUGCGUUUAAGGAGGCAAUUCUUGGAACUCUUUCAAGGAAUUGUACCCAGUUGAUAUUUGGCUUUGAUUUAUGUUUCAAUAAAAGUUUUGAGUUGUCUGACACCUCCAGCAAAGCUACCGUCCAUUUUUUUUGGUUCUUCCGAUGCUCAGCCACAGAGAUAUCCUUUCUAAUUUGCUUUCUGCAUCAAGAACUUGUGAUGUUCUUUUUUGGUUAGAUAUUGUCUUUCCUCUACUUUUCUGUUCCUAUUCCACACCCGUCUGGGACAUCAUUGAUUCCGGUGAGGAAUUUAAUUUUUUUUCCUCUUUACACUGCUAUACUUUACUUUUCGAGUCUCUCAUCAUAUUUUGCAGUUAGGUGCUAUAUGCAAUUUGUAUUCUGAUUUUUAGCUGUAUGUUGCUGCGCACUAGUACAUUGCUUUCAUUAACUUGUUAUUUUUGUUUUA